UACGUAGGGUGCAAGCGUUGUCCGGAAUUAUUGGGCGUAAAGAGCUCGUAGGCGGUCUGUCGCGUCGGCUGUGAAAACUCGGGGCUCAACCCCGAGCCUGCAGUCGAUACGGGCAGACUAGAGUGCUGUAGGGGAGACUGGAAUUCCUGGUGUAGCGGUGAAAUGCGCAGAUAUCAGGAGGAACACCGGUGGCGAAGGCGACUACCUGGCCUGUUCUUGACGCUGAGGCGCGAAAGCUAGGGGAGCAAACGGG
rnacentral:rRNA from 1 species